rnacentral:tRNA from 1 species
GUGUCUGUAGCUCAAGCGGAUAGAGUGCAGGACUGCGACUCCUGAGGCUGCCGGUUCGACUCCGGCCAGACACGCCA